UGAAAUGGAUAUAUAUAAGUACUUCUUGCUCCUAUAUAUCAUUCUGUCAUAGAAGUACUCAAAAGAAAGAGUGAUCAAUCUGAAUAAUUUUACAAUAGCAUGGGCAUCUCCAAGUCCAAAGCUCUUAUUGCCUCACUAAUCUUUCUUCUUUUUCUCUUAUCUGCUGCAGAAAAUCAUGAGCUUAUAGCAGCAGUAAUAAUAUUGAUGCAAUAUCAAAAGCACUCAAAGCUCGUCCUAAUUAUACAAUAAAUUGUGGAAACGAAUGUACGAGGAGGUGCAAGUUAGCAUCUAGACAGAAAAUCUGCAAGAGAGCAUGUGGGACAUGUCGUGCCCGUUGCAACUGCGUGCCGCCAGGAACUUCUGGAAAUGAGAAUGCCUGUCCAUGCUAUUCUACUAUGACUACUCAUGGCAAAAGACGCAAGUGCCCUUAAUUAGUACUUGACUCGUACGUGCUUUCAAACUGUAUGCACGUGCGCCCACUACUUAUAUUCUAGAUAUGCUUCUGUGUGCGUUAUUAAGAAAUAAGAAAGAGUAUGAGUUUAAAGGGAUUGUAUGAUCAAGUGAAGAGCUGCUGCUGCUGCAUAAUUUCAAAUUAAAUAUGGAUCCCUUGGUUAA